ensembl:snoRNA
AGCCAGUGAUGAGACGUUUCCAUUUCUGACACCUCGUAUGAAACCUGCAUAUGCAGUUUGAUUAUAUAGCAAGGCUGAGGCUC